UACGUAGGGUGCGAGCGUUAAUCGGAAUUACUGGGCGUAAAGCGUGCGCAGGCGGCGCGUUAAGACAGGUGUGAAAGCCCCGAGCUUAACUUGGGAAUUGCGCUUGUGACUGGCGUGCUGGAGUGUGGCAGAGGGAGGUGGAAUUCCACGUGUAGCAGUGAAAUGCGUAGAGAUGUGGAGGAACACCGAUGGCGAAGGCGGAUCUCUGGGCCAGUACUGACACUGAGGAGCGAAAGCGUGGGUAGCAAACAGG
rnacentral:rRNA from 1 species